rnacentral:rRNA from 1 species
AGCGAACGCUGGCGGCGUGCUUAACACAUGCAAGUCGAACGAGAACGGGCUAUAGCUUGCUAUAGUUGUCAGCUAAGUGGCGCACGGGUGAGUAAUGUAUAGGUAAUAUGCCUCUUACUAAGGGAUAACAAAUGGAAACGUUUGCUAAUACCUUAUACUCCUUAUUAACAGAAGUUAAUAAGGGAAAGAUUUAUUGGUAAGAGAUUAGCCUGUAUUGUAUCAGUUAGUUGGUUGGGUAAUGGCUUACCAAGACUAUGACACAUAACUGGUGUGGGAGGAUGAUCAGUCACACUGGAACUGAGACACGGUCCAGACUCCUACGGGAGGCAGCAGUGGGGAAUAUUGAACAAUGGACGAAAGUCUGAUGCAGCAACGCCGCGUGGAGGAUGACACAUUUCGGUGCGUAAACUCCUUUUAUAUGAGAAGAUAAUGACGGUAUUAUAUGAAUAAGCACCGGCUAACUCCGUGCCAGCCGCCGCCGUAA